rnacentral:rRNA from 1 species
UACAGAGGGGGCAAGCGUUGUUCGGAAUUACUGGGCGUAAAGGGCGCGUAGGCGGCCUGUUAAGUCGAACGUGAAAUCCCCGGGCUCAACCCGGGAACUGCGUCCGAUACUGGCAGGCUUGAAUUCGGGAGAGGGAUGCGGAAUUCCAGGUGUAGCGGUGAAAUGCGUAGAUAUCUGGAGGAACACCGGUGGCGAAGGCGGCGACCUGGACAGGCACUGACACUCAACUACGAAAGCGUGGGGAGCAAACAGG